GAGUUUGAUCCUGGCUCAGGACGAACGCUGGCGGCGUGCCUAAUACAUGCAAGUCGAGCGAGUCUCUUCGGAGGCUAGCGGCGGACGGGUGAGUAACACGUAGGCAACCUGCCUCUCAGACCGGGAUAACAUAGGGGAAACUUAUGCUAAUACCGGAUAGGUUUUUGGAUUGCAUGAUCCGAAAAGAAAGAUGGCUUUUCGCUAUCACUGGGAGAUGGGCCUGCGGCGCAUUAGCUAGUUGGUGGGGUAACGGCUACCAAGGCGACGAUGCGUAGCCGACCUGAGAGGGUGACCGGCCACACUGGGACUGAGACACGGCCCAGACUCCUACGGGAGGCAGCAGUAGGGAAUUUUCCACAAUGGACGAAAGUCUGAUGGAGCAACGCCGCGUGAACGAUGAAGUCUUCGGAUUGUAAAGUUCUGUUGUCAGGGACGAACACGUACCGUUCGAAUAGGGCGGUACCUUGACGGUACCUGACGAGAAAGCCACGGCUAACUACGUGCCAGCAGCCG
rnacentral:rRNA from 1 species